GGGGUUGCAAGGCAUAGACAGUUGGACAUAGUCUUUUGAUGCAUGUCGAGCAUGAACAUAAUCUCGUAAAAAUUUGUUCACAUGUUAAUUGCAAAAUUGACUGCUAAGACAAUUUCUCCAUACUUUAGUAUGAAGAAUUUUGUUCCAGCAUACGCUUUAGCGUAACUGGCGUCUUUACCAUAGACUUCCGAUAUAUGGCUAAAGGUGUAAUAUUAUCGGGACAAGGGGAUAGGGUGUUCGUCUAUUCCACUAAAAUUUAGAACUCGAUUAAAAAAUAUUUGGUUUGCUUAAGAAUUUUUUAAUCUAAAACAAAAAGCACACUACACAUGUAGACUUCAAGGGCGAUACCUUCUGCACGGGGAUUCAAUUUCCCCCAACUCCACCA
rnacentral:tmRNA from 1 species